GAUGAACGCUGGCGGCGUGCCUAAUACAUGCAAGUCGAGCGAACAGACGCGGAGCUUGCUCCUCUGACGUUAGCGGCGGACGGGUGAGUAACACGUGGAUAACCUCCCUAUAAGACUGGGAUCACUUCGGGAAACCGGAGCUAAUACCGGAUAAUAUAUUGAACCGCAUGGUUCAAUAGUGAAAGACGGUUUUGCUGUCACUUAUAGAUGUAUCCGCGCCGCAUUAGCUAGUUGGUAAGGUAACGGCUUACCAAGGCAACGAUGCGUAGCCGACCUGAGAGGGUGAUCGGCCACACGGGAACUGAGACACGGUCCAGACGCCUACGGGAGGCAGCAGUAGGGAAUGUGCGGCAAUGGGCGAAAGCCUGACGGAGCAACGCCGCGUGAGUGAUGAAGGUCUUCGGAUCGUAAAACUCUGUUAUUAGGGAAGAACAAAUGUGUAAGUAACUAUGCACGUCUUGACGGUACCUAAUCAGAAAGCCACGGCUAACUACGUG
rnacentral:rRNA from 1 species